rnacentral:rRNA from 1 species
CAGUAGCCGCGGGAAUACGUAGGGUGCGAGCGUUAAUCGGAAUUACUGGGCGUAAAGCGGGCGCAGACGGUUACUUAAGCAGGAUGUGAAAUCCCCGGGCUCAACCUGGGAACUGCGUUCUGAACUGGGUAACUAGAGUGUGUCAGAGGGAGGUAGAAUUCCACGUGUAGCAGUGAAAUGCGUAGAGAUGUGGAGGAAUACCGAUGGCGAAGGCAGCCUCCUGGGAUAACACUGACGUUCAUGCCCGAAAGCGUGGGUAGCAAACAGGAUUAGAUACCCGUGUAGUCCCUGUCUCUUAUAC